rnacentral:rRNA from 1 species
UACGUAGGGGGCAAGCGUUGUCCGGAUUUAUUGGGCGUAAAGCGCACGCAGGCGGUCUUUUAAGUUUUGAGUGACAGGCGAGGGCUUAACCCUGGCAGGCCUUGGAAAACUGGAAGACUUGAGGGCGAGAGAGGGAUGCGGAAUUCCAGGUGGAGCGGUGAAAUGCGUAGAGAUCUGGAAGAACACCGAAGGCGAAGGCAGCAUCCUGGAGCGUGACUGACGCUGAUGUGCGAAAGCUAGGGGAGCGAACGGG